rnacentral:rRNA from 1 species
GCUAACGGCUGAACUGGCAACUUGGAGAAGUGGCAAGUCUUCCAGUAUGGGGAGCAAAACAGCUAUGGGUCAAGUCCGAGAUCUUUAGGAGAAGUCUUAUUGUGAGGGCGAGUUAUAUAACACCAUAGGACUGGCCGUCCCAUAUGAAAAGAUUAUAUUAGAAUUGAAUGAAGCUUUGUUUAUAUAUUGAUAAUGACAGUAUAUAUAUCGUGUCUUGACUAAUUGCGUGCCAGCAGUCGCGGUAAUACGUAAGAGACUAGUGUUAUUCAUCUUAAUUAGGUUUAAAGGGUACCCAGACGGUCAAUAUAGCUUAUAAAAUGUUAGUACUUGACUAGAGUUUUAUGUAAGAGGGCAGUACUUGAGGAGGAGAGAUGAAAUUUCGUGAUACCAAAGGGACUCUGUAAAGGCGAAGGCAGCCCUCUAUGUAAAAACUGACGUUGAAGGACGAAGGCACAGAGAACAAACAGGAUUAGAUACCCAAGUAGUCUUUGCAGUAAAUGAUGAAUGCCAUAGGUUAGAUUAAUAGUUAAUGUUUAUAGGCUAAUUAUUGGCUUAGCUUAGCAAACUAAUGCUAUAGACUAGACAUUAAAAAUUAUUUGGUCUAUAAAUGAAAGUGUAAGCAUUUCACCUCAAGAGUAAUGUGGCAACGCAGGAACUGAAAUCACUAGACCGUUUCUGACACCAGUAGUGAAG